rnacentral:rRNA from 1 species
UACGUAGGGUGCGAGCGUUAAUCGGAAUUACUGGGCGUAAAGCGUGCGCAGGCGGUUCGUUGUGUCGGUGGUGAAAUCCCCGGGCUUAACCUGGGAAUGGCCAUGGAAACUGGCGAACUGGAGUGCGGCAGAGGGGGGUGGAAUUCCGCGUGUAGCAGUGAAAUGCGCAGAUAUCAGGAAGAACACCAGCGGCGAAGGCGGCACUCUGGGCUGGAAUUGACGCUGAGGAGCGAAAGUGUGGGUAGCAAACAGG